rnacentral:lncRNA from 1 species
AUAUAUAUAUAUGUAUCUAUAUACACAUACACAUAUAUAGUAUAUGGUUUAUAUAUACAAGUCCUAUAGAUAGUCGAUAGAUAGUAGAGAACAAAUAAAAAUACAAUGUAUAAACCUAGGUGUUCUUGUUCUAGCAUUUUCAUUCAAAACUAUUUUUAAAUUCUGGUAAGAAGAGGUGAUAAUCACUAUAGAGGUGAACAGAGCCACACCCUGAGGCUGAGUCCUUAGUCUGGUAGAAAACAUUUACCUAGGUAACUAUCUGAAGGUGGGGAAUGCGGCUCAGAGACGGGCUUAAGUUUUUUUUUUUUUUUCUUUUUUUUUUUUUGAGAGUGUAGACAUAUGUUAUAUAUUUUUACAUAUUUGUUCUCUGUAGUCUCUGUAAUUCUUUUAAAGAAACUCUGGUGUUCUGGAACAGUCUUUCUUUCCUAAGAGUUUAUUGACUCAUUUUAGCUGGGUACUGACAGUUCUGAUGUCCCAAGUUCAAGGCCUGUGAUGGCCACACAAGUGCUGUGAUACAUGUUUUCCACAUCCCCAAUAAAGAUAUGUAAUAGAAAGAUUUAAGAGUUUAUCCAUCAUAUUUUAACUACAGAGUUUCUUCAGCAUUCGUGUUGCGGGCUCUAUUUUUGUUUGAGGUUGGUGUUUGUAAGUACAUGUGAAGUAUUGCUGACUUCUAAAGGAAGGAGGUUCUCUUUUGACUCCCUAGGUUGAAACACUGUGAGAUGAGUCAGGGGUGCAAACCGGGCUUCAGGCUGCAGAUUGGCUCUUACUGAUCACACUCUCUGACCCUGCAGAUGAGUGGGCUACCCAGGCUGGCUUCCAGACCGGAAGGGUCACGAUGCAUGUGCCAGCUCUACAUCUUUUUGUUGUUGUUUUUGUUUUGUUUAGUUUAGUUAUGGCUUGAAUCUGCCCAGCUGCUGCAAAGCUGUCUGCCAUUCCACUUUUUAUAUUUGCUGUUAAUCUUCUAAAUAGGAUGUCUAUUUUCAGAGAAAAUAAACAUAGCUUGCCCAAUAACUUCCUGCCAUCUGUCUGACCAUCCUUUCUUUCUGUGCAAAGCAGAACCAGAUCCCAGGGGUGGCUCUGCAUUCCUGCUGUGUCCUGUCUGCAUCCUUGGUCCCAGUAUUACAGAGGAGCAUCCCUGAUGCUCUCAUUACCAGUCAGACUUCUUUAGUCCACUUAUUGAUUGGAUGAUUUGGUAUUUCUUUGAUGGUUUAAUUCUUGAAGCUCUUCAUAGAGUCUGAAUAUUAAUCCCUUCUCAGAGCUAUUGCUGGUAAGGAUUUUUUUUUUUUUCUUCCAUGCUGGAGGUUGUCUCUGCUGAUGGCUUCCUUUGAACAAGGAAGCUUUUGAUUUCACUCAUCAGUUCUUGGGAUUCUUUCCUGAGCUGUUGAAAAGUCCUUGCCUCUGCCUGUAUCUUUGUGUUUGCUCGUGUUCUCUUCUAGCCCUUCAAGUCUUACAUUAAGGUCUUGGAUCCAUUUUGAAUUGAAUUUUGUGCAAGGUAAGAAAUAUGGAUCUGGUUUCAUUAUUUUAACCGGUGGAUAUUCACCUUGCCAACACCACUUGUAGAAGAGGCUGUUAUUCUUCCAAUCUGUGUUUUUGACACCUUUGCCAAAGAUUAGAUAGCUAUUACUUUGUAACUUGGAUGGGUUCAUCUGUGAGUCCUAUACUCUGUUCCAUUGGUCUAUGUGUCUGUUUUAUACCAGCUCACAGUAGAUAUUUUCAAAUGUUCAUUUCCUUUCUUGUUUGUGUAACAUGAUCCACCCCUUAAUUGUCAUGUUAUUUUAGCAGCUGUUUAAUAUAUACAAGAUUUUUUUUU